rnacentral:ncRNA from 1 species
AAUCCCAGCAGAAGAGUAGUAACAUCGCUCCUUUCAGAGAGUCUGUGGUUGCUGUAAACAGGCAGGAGAAGUUAUGAAAUGGGCUGCUGGAGUCAACAUUUUGUCCUUUAGUUGAUCUUUUAUCAUUUUGUUAGCAUACUUUGCCAUGACUCGGUGUGCUGCCUUCUACUAAAAGGAAUCUAAAUGACUGUAAAUAGGUAAAUGAGAUGUGGAGCCUGAAAACUCCAUAACUGAGGUGGCACCGCGAUGAUACGCCCUCACA